rnacentral:ncRNA from 1 species
CGAAUCUCAAAGGGGUGCCCGUCGGGCUGAGAUCAUACCCAAUGAACCUGGGCAGGUAAUGCUGCCAAGGGAUUAGCGCGAAAGCGCUGU